CAUCUUGACGAUGACGAUCUGAUCUCAUACAUCCUCACAGGCCUUGACUUCGUGGUGUCCUCUGUUGCUGCACGUGUAGAGCCCAUGACAGUGGGUGAUCUGUAUGCGCAACUGCUGAGCUUUGAGC
rnacentral:snoRNA from 17 species